rnacentral:RNase_P_RNA from 2 species
CCAGGCAGGUGAACGGCUGCUCUGAUGUAAAAUCGGAGAGGAAAGUCCGGACACCAUAAAAAAGAUAGUUCUGAAACAGAACCAAGUAUAAGAAUUACAAAACAGAAAAAUAAUCCACGAUCGUUUUAUUUUUCUUUUGGCCAAUUCAAAACUUUGAGCAAGUGCCACAGAAAAUAAACCGCUCCGGCAGCGCAAGCUUAUCGGAGUAAGGAUGAAACCGCGGUGUAAGAGACCACGCGCUUCUAUGGCGACAUAGAUUUGGGCAAACCUUAUCUGGUGCAACUCCGUUAAAUCGGAGGCUUAGAUAGAUGGCCGUAUUUAUUCGUAAUAAUUCGUAUUUUUUUAAAUUCGUAUUAUUCGCGACUAAGACAGAAUCUGGCUUAUGAUCCUGCCUGGACAA